UUAUUAAAUGCUAUAGUUUACAAUAAAACAAUAAGAUAACUCAGCCUCGUUGGCUAUGAGCGAAUAGUAAACUCAGCCUCGUUGUAAUAAUACAUUCGUCCUAAUAUUUAUAAAUCUGAGGCCAAUCUCCGACCGGUGUAAUAACCCCAACGACCGACAAGUGUGACGCCACAUUAGGCGAAAACCCUGGGAACGAGGUUGCGCAUUCGUUUCAAAAUUCAAAUUUUUUACAACGACAUUCUUGGCUGUUCUACGAGGAGAUUGCAAUUUUAUUUGAUAAAAGACAUAAAAGGAUAAUCUUUGUCACUCUCCUAAUACGAUUGGAAAUGAAAUAGGUGCUGGUUCACUGGAUUGAGUCAAAUAAGACAAGCAUCUUAAAGAAAGAAUAUAUUAUUUAAAGACAAAAGUGUGCAUGCUAAAACAUCCCGAGAAGGAUCGCAUGGUUUUGUUUGGAUACUCAAAGAUGAAUUCCCCAAAGACGGCAUGGAAAUCGUAUUUUGAAACGUUUUGGCAGAAAGUGAUAGCAAGAAUGAGUUACUAAUGAAAACUUAGCUUGAAUUGAGCAGUUGGAGGAUAACAGUGAUAAUAACAGUGAUGAUAAUAAAGCCAAGAAGAGGCGAUUAGAUGUGACCAGUGCUGACAAUAAGAAACCAAAGAAGAAUAUAAAGCUUUUGUCAUCAUGAAAUUUCCUCAAGCAAAUAAUACAAUUUUAAAAGCUGUUAUGACACAAGAGUGCAAAGAAUUUAGGCUGUCAAUGGAAAACCGAAGAAAGAAUCAGGAAGAUCUUAGCAACAAUUAAGACAGUAGGAUGACUAAAUAAAUUAUAGUAUUAUAAUUCAUUUUUUUAUAUUUACAGAUGUAUCUUUUACUCUUUAACAUAGUCAAAUGUUUCACUUCAUUUUGUAAUAUGGUUUUCAAUAUAUGUGCAUUAAUUUACUUCACCUGGUAAUACUGUGUCUGAGUGAUUUAAUGAUAAUUAAAGGUGUCAUGCAGUAGUUUGUGUGGAUCACAUGUGAACCACAUGUGAACGUCAAAACAGACUAACAUGUGAACCACAUGUGGUUGUUCCAGAUCCACAUGUACUGAACCACAUGUGACUCACAUGUGAUACCACCACAUGUGAUACUACCACAUGUGAACCACAUGUGAUACCACCACAUGUGAACCACAUGUGAUAUAAUGGUUCCAAUUUCACAUGUGAGUCACAUGUGAUUCCACAUGUGGUUUUUGCA